rnacentral:rRNA from 1 species
AACGAACGCUGGCGGCAUGCCUAAUACAUGCAAGUCGAACGAGAUCUUCGGAUCUAGUGGCGCACGGGUGCGUAACGCGUGGGAAUCUGCCCUUGGGUUCGGAAUAACGUCGGGAAACUGACGCUAAUACCGGAUGAUGACGUAAGUCCAAAGAUUUAUCGCCCAAGGAUGAGCCCGCGUAGGAUUAGCUAGUUGGUGGGUAAAGGCCCACCAAGGCGACGAUCCUUAGCUGGUCUGAGAGGAUGAUCAGCCACACUGGGACUGAGACACGGCCCAAACUCCUACGGGAGGCAGCAGUAGGGAAUAUUGGACAAUGGGGGCAACCCUGAUCCAGCAAUGCCGCGUGAGUGAUGAAGGCCUUAGGGUUGUAAAGCUCUUUUACCCGGGAUGAUAAUGACAGUACCGGGAGAAUAAGCCCCGGCUAACUCCGUGCCAGCCGCCGCAGUAA